rnacentral:rRNA from 1 species
UACGUAGGGGGGCAAGCGUUGUCCGGAAUUAUUGGGCGUAAAGCGCGCGCAGGUGGUGGAUUAAGUUGUGGGUAAAAGGCAAUGGCUCAACCAUUGUAAGCCUGCAAAACUGGUUCACUUGAGUGCAGGAGAGGGGAGUGGAAUUCCCGGUGUAGCGGUGGAAUGCGUAGAUAUCGGGAGGAACACCUGUGGCGAAAGCGGCUCUCUGGACCACAACUGACGCUGAGGCGCGAAAGCUAGGGGAGCAAACAGGG